GGCCUAAAUUUACCUAAACGCGUAAUGAAUACUGUGUAAGUAAAAGCACCCCACCCGAUGCCCCAAAAUAAAAUUUUCACCAUAAAUGAUAUUUAUACAAGUGUAAGAAAUAAAAAGUACAAACACAAUUUAAACUCCUCUUUAAAUGUCAUUCCCGGCAAGUAUUCCCAAUAACCUGUAUAAAUAUUUGUAGUAAAAAUGUUAGUAACGAAUAAAUAAUUAUCAAAUGACUCGAGAAGGUAUGUGUGCAUAUAUGUAAAAAUAUAUAUAUAUAAUAUAAUUUUUGUUAAAACAGUGGGCUCGAAUAAAGUUUUUAAAUAUUAUAAGAAUUUCAUCAUUGCUGAAUUUAUUUAUUUUUAUUACAUACUUGUAUACGUAUACGUAAUAUUCGUCUUUUAAUUUUUGAAGGACUCAAAAAUCGACAAAUCGGCCAACUAGCGUAGUAUUUAUCCGUUAUCAAUAUAAAAAAUGAAAAUGCAAUAAAAGUAAAAAUAAAUCCAAAACAGUCGAAAAAAUCAUCUAAACAGUAGCAAAGUAACAGGAUUUCCAAAGUAAUCUUAUCAUCCGUAGGAUAACAAUGGAAUGUAGCAAACAACAUAUUUAUGACAGAGAUAGCCAAAAAUAGAGCAAAACAACAGCAAUAAAUAUCACAGGGCAGCAAGCGAAAGUUAGAAUAAGAAAAAAAGAAAAGAAAUUAUAAAUACAAUCAACGAGGUUAUGAAAAAAAAUAGUGAAAACAAUGGAGCUUAUCAGUUUUAACGGAGCUUCACUAGAGAAUAAAACCUCCGACAAGAUCUGCAAUAAAUGGGGGAGCUGAACAUUCUUCUAGGAUGAAUGUCGAAAAUAUAAUAACCAACCAGCUCUGCAAAAUCACACCCAUCCGGUUCAACCAAGAAAAAAGUAGAUCAAGCAUGAAAAAGUUCUAGCAAAUUUGAAGAUUUUUACUUCCCCUUUUCUAUCAGUUAAUAAAUAUAUGCUUUAUAAUAAAAGGAUUUCAUAAAAUAGAUUGUCACACUGCUUUCUUGCUCUCUUUGUUGAAACCAGCCAAAUCAUCUACACAUAAUCAAAGAUCGAUGAGAUUUUUCUUGCUGUUAAUAAACUCAAGGAGACGGAGUAGUAAUUAAAGAAAAAAUAAGGAUGAAGGAAAAUGAUGCAGUGACGGUAUUUAAGGAGCUUCGCGGUCACCACCUCCAACAAAGGAAUGGCGAAAACAAGGAAGGAUGGUUGGACGUUCUUAACAGGAGGCCCGUCCACUAGUGACCAACUCCAGCGAGCAGUGGCCAAAAAUAAGGAAGAAGGGGAAGGAGGUCGAUGGAGAUGCAGCGGUCGGUGGGAUUAGAGCGGUAGACGGCGGCGGCUGUGGGUGACUGAUUACCCAGCGCCGUGGAGGAGAAAUGAAAGAAGAGGGGUAGGAAGGGGUGACACUUCAGGCUUCAGGUAGCUGGUUUGGUAGGAGUAGUGGUCUUGAUGGAUCUUGUCGGUCAUCACCUCCGGCGAAAGGUAACAGAAAUGGGAAAAAGAAGAAAAGAAGGGUGGUGCAGUGAUGGUGGUGUUCGUACAACGUCAGUCGGCUGAUGGUGAUGCGGCUGUGGGUUUUUGAGAGAAAGAAAGAGCAUAGGAUUUACGGUGGUGGUUUGGCGGCGGAAAGCUCACCGAAAUACGAUGGAUGUUGGUGGCAUUGAGAAGAUGAGAAGAAGAGAAGAGAGAGAAAAUGAGAGAGGAGAGAGAGAUCUGAUGUGUGUGCAUAUCCGUGUGUUGUGUUAAAAGUGUGGGUAUGUGUAUUUUGAGUGAUAAUAAAAAUUUACCCCUUCCCCUCUUUUAUAAUACAAAAUAACCCUUUUUUAACCCAUAAAAUUAAAAACUAACCCCUUCAUCUCUUUAAUGUAUGAAUUACCCCACAGGAUAUUGUCAAAUGAGUUUUUCUUCUUUUAAACCAAUAAAUAAAGACUCGUUAUUCAAGGGAUAAAAACAUCAAUCCAUCACCUCAAUUGUCUCUUUUUAAAAGGUGACAAGAUGAUUGAUUUAUUGCUUUAUAUAUUAAAAUAAAAAUAUUAACUUACAUUUACAUAUCGUAUUAAAUAAUGUACAAAAAUAUGAAUACUGAUGUAUAAUUACAAAAAAAAAUAUAAACAAACAAUAAAAAAUAAAAAAUAUAAUCAUCUUAAAAAUAUAUUAUGUUAUAAAUAAUUAAGAUUAUAUAGUGCGGUAAGGAAUUAAAGUACUAUGUUAUGUACUUAUGCAAAUGACUGUGUCCAAAUUUAAAAUAAUAAACUGACAAAAAUUCUAAAAUUUACAAAAUUAAAGGUAAUUAUCAAUAAAUUAUGUAAAAUUAAAACAUGACAAUAAAUUGAUAAAAAUCCAAAAAUAAUAAUAAUUAUCAAUAAUUUAUUAACAAUUGUAAAAAAAAUCAAGAAGCCAAAAUUGGGUGUCCAUAGCCAAUAUCGUAAAGGCUAGCCUCUGUGCCAUGCUGCUACCACGGAGGUUAUCCUCCGUGAUACGUCAAUAUCUCAGACCCUCACUACCUCGAGGUCCCAAAAUGACCCUAAAUCUCUUUCAAAAAAUUUGGAACUUUUUCAAAACACCCUUUUAAUAUCCCUAAACAUAAUUCAAGUCAAAAAUUGAUAUUACAAAUAUGGAAGGGUCAAAAAUAAAAUCAUCGAAGUUUUAUGGGGUCUUAUAAUUGGUAGUUUGGCUUCUAUCUAAGUUUCUCAAAGGUCAUUGGUGUAGGACGUCAAGUUCUUAGCCAACUUGAUAGUGCAGCUUAACAUUUCUAACCCUGGGAAUAUUCUUGCUAGUGUUGAGGCAAGGUCUACCUUAUUCAGCAGAUUUGGUGUCUCUAGUUUGAGGAUAUGAGACUUUGUAUUAUUUGUGAUGGUGUUGAGUGGCGAGUCCAAGCGGUACACCAUAGAUUCUGUGGGUUUUCUGAAGUUUGAUGGUUGCAUUUAAGUUCUGAGGGUUGGAGAUUUAAUUCAAUUGAUUUUGUGUGAGGCUCACAACUUUAUACAUUCUAUUCACUAGGCAUAGCUAAGAAGUAGAUAUUUAAAGAGACAUGUGGCAUAAAGAGAGUUGUGGCAGACUUUAUAGCUCGCUGCCUAUGUUUUCAGCAGGUGAAGUUCGAGCAUCAGAGACCUAAUGGCUUGAUUCAGAGAUUGUCCAUUCCGAAGUUGAAGUAGAAGCGGAUCACUAUGGACUUUAUUAGUGGUCUACCUCACACAUCCCAUAGUUUUGAUAAUAUUUGGAUCAUUGUAGAUCGAUUAACCAAAUCAGCACAUCUCAUUUUUAUUCAAAUGUCCUUCAGUGUUGAGAGGUUAGCCCGUAUUUAUGUUUGUGAGAUACUCUUUUUGCGUGGACUGCCUACAUCUAUUAUCUCAAACCAAGGCUCAUUGUUCACUUCUAGAUUCUGGAGAACUUUUCAAGAGGAUUUGGGUACUCAAGUAGAUUGUAGCAUAACCUUUUCACCUUCAGACUGGCGGGCAGUCAAAGUGGACUAUUGAGCUUCUUAAGGAAUGCUCCGAGUCUGUGUUAUGAAUUUUGGAAUCAAUGGAAGCAGUACUUGGCUUUGGCGGAGUUCGUAUAUAAUAACAAAGCAACUCUUGGCUCUAGUGGAGUUCUUGUAUAAUAAUAACUAUCAUUCAAGUAUUGAGAUGGCACCAUUUAAGGCAUUAUAUGGUAGACAUUGUUGAUUUCCAAUUGGGUGGUUUAAGACCUUCGAGAUUAGACCCCACAGUACUGACUUGCUUCAGGAGUUAUUGGUUAGGGUUCGAGUGAUUCAAGAUAGGUUGAGGUGAGCUUAGAAUAGGAAAAAGGCUUAUCCAAGACUUGAUAUGUCAAGAUUUGUAGUUGGAAAUCGAGUAUCCCUUCAUAUGUCACCCAUGAUUGGUGUGAUGAGGUUCGAGAAGAAAGUCAAGCUAAACCCUAAAUAUAUUAGACCUUUUGAUAUCCUUCGCACAGUUGCAUAAGUGGCCAAUCAGUUAGCCUUACCCUUAGAUUUUGCCAUUGUUCAUCCAGAUUUCCAUAUUUCUAUGUUGCGAUGGUACAUUCUCGAUGUCCUAUGUUCUACAUUGAUACUAGUUCCUGAUUCAGUUGGAUGAACGAUUGACCUUCUUGGAGAAGCCUGUGUUCAUAUUGGCUAGGAAUGUGUCACGCCUCAUUUUCCUCGCGAAAAGCGAGAUUCAAUGUGACCACUCUUUAUGGGAUAGUUUUGAGAGAGAAUAUGAAAAGUCACUACCUAACAAAUUAAGGUGUGUUAGGGCACCGAUCUAGGACACUACGAACUAAUUUUGUUGUUUUGACUUAAUUCACCAAAAAUUUGGGUAAGAGUUCAAAUUAUCUCGAAAGGAAGGUGUUACGCACCUUUCGAAGUCUACAAAAGUGGUUCCCGGCCGAAUUCAUAUUUUACAUUUUACAUGAACAAAUAUAGAUCUCUUAUUUUAACUAAAUUUUAUCUAAGUGAUAAAGUAGGUAAUAAACAAACACAUGUUAUUUUGUUAUUUCUAACUGUUGAUUAUCUAAGUGAUAAAAAUCGAUAAAAACAUGUAAACAAGACAAGCGAGGAGAAAGAAAUGAAAUAAUAUAAAACAUAGAGGACUACUUAUAUAAUAAACUUAACUACCCCAAAUAAAUAAGCAAGUAAAGUAAAUAAAAGAAUCAAAGAAAUCAUCAAAUCAAACAAAGAAAUAUUUUUUCUCUCAUUCGGAUCAUAACCCCAACUUGUUUAAUCAUCAUCCGACCUACUGACCGAACUCUUAGAAAAGUCAUGUCUUACCUUUAAUGUCUAUUGAAGAUCAUCACUUCCGAAUGACUACCUGCCCCAGCCCACCUAAGCUGAAUAUCAAAUGUUCUAACACAAGAAUAAAACUAGCGUCCAGUAAUUCCUAUCGUCCCACCUAUCGCCCAAGAGGCUUUGUACUUUUCUAUUUUGAUUUUGUAGCCUAAACAAAAUAAAGUUAUGUUGCCUAUGACUGCAAACACGUAACACAUUGGACGUCAAGCAGCAAGUAGUGUCUCACGUUAGCCCCUUAGUUAUUAAAGAGUUGAUUAAUGUGAUUAACAUGCAAAGACAAAGAAUAGCUAUUUUUAUGUGAUUAAUCUAUAGGCAUGAUAUCUAAGGGUUCAACAAGUGCUAGUGUGACAAAAUGUAACUGUGAAUUGUGUAUGUAAUAAUGUAUUGUCAAGUUGUUAAAAGAGGAUGUCAAAAUGUGGUAAAUAUGUCAAGAAAUUGUGCUCACGAAUUUCAAUGUUGUAAACUAAUACAAAUAUAAUAAAACAUUGAAAGUACAUUGACAUACUAAGGAACACUGAUGUACUCAAUCUAGUUUUUAACAUAUUGAAAAGGCUCAAAACAUACAUUUUAACAUGCGGGCAAUUAUUCUGAUAGUGCAGAAAUUUCAUAUUAAUAUGCUGGAAAAUGCUAAAGAUGCCUAAAAUCUAAUAUUUUAACAUGUCAAAAUUUAAUAUUAACAUACUGAAAAUACAUUAAAUCUAUUGUUUUUGACAUGCUGAAAAAUAUAUUAAUGCGCAGAAAUUUUUAUGUUAACAGGCUGCAGUUUUAACAUGUUGUAAUCUAUAUUGAUAUGCUAAAAAUAUACAAUGGUAUACCUAAUAUACGUGCUGAAAUAUUUAAACUUAAUAUGCUGAAAACGUAUUAAUGCACAGUAGUUUUAUGUUACUCUUGUUGAAGGUGUAUUAACGUGUUCAGAGUUGUGUUUACAUACCAAGUCAUGUGACGACAAAAUUAACUCUAAUGUUCGACAUGCUAAAACUCAUUAAUCUACAGACAUGUUAGGAAUGGAUUAAUACACUUAUAUUCCAUUUUAAUAUGUCAAUAUGCUGAAAAAUACAUGAACAUUCUAAUAUCCAACAUGCUAACGUGGUUAAAUUCGCGUUAACAUACAACAACAUAUCAUAACAUUUUAACCCAGUAUUUAACAUGUUUAGUAGGUUGAAAGUUAUACUAAACACAGGAGUUAAUAUUAACAUGCUAAAAAUAUUAUAAUGCCUAGAUUUGUUUUACUAUACCUAAAUUGUGUUGACGUGCUAAACAUGCAAUGACAUGUUAAUAAGUGGUAAUUUAAGUGUCUAAGUGCUUUGAGUAUUAAGUGAUUCACGUAGCAUGUAAUACACGUAAAGGCCUAAGUCGUAUUUACCUAUACUAUGCAUAGACCCCGCCCUUCCCCCUCCGAGCAGUCCCCAAAAUUUAUUAUUACAUCAAUAAUAAUGUCUUAACGAUAUUACAGACCAAAAUUAAUGAAGAAUAAAACAAACUAAGUUACAAGCCGACAGCUUCCCUUCCAAUUCCCGGGCGAUUCUAUGGAACCGCUUUAAUAACACCUGUUUAGAAGCAGACAGAAGUACCAAUGCACACACGGAACAAAAUAGGAGCGCUAGCACAUGAUUUUAAGCAGAGGAAAUAACGAAAUAUGAGCACAAGCAAUAAUGAAUUAUCCCAAAUUACUCCUAUAGGCAUGCUUUCUAUGUUUUCAUGGCAUGAUAUAAUCAACACAAAACAUGAAUAAAAUAUUGCAUCGAUUUGGAAACUUACCAGUGAGAGAAAACAAGAAUAAUAAAGUCAAGCACUUGUAAUGCAAGAUGUUUUCAGCAAGCUUUGAAGAAAACCCAAGGACUCUUGAAAAUAUAUAAUUGCCUUGUAUUAAAAUAGCCUGUAAUUCUUUUUCUUUGUUUUAAAGAAUAGUGAUUGUAAUUCAAGAACUGUCCAUCAAUGAAAAGAGAGGGGGUUUAUACAGUAAAGAGAGGUCCGAAAAUAAAAGACAAGGAGAAUAUUUUGCAAAAUCAUUUAAGGAAAAAAUCCUUGAAAGAUGGGAUCAAUCGCGUGAAAUUCAGCCCAAAAUAGAACGGAUAUUUUCCUUGAUAUAAGGACUAAAUCAGUUAAGCAAAUUUACCAUAAAUACAAAUCAAAUAUUUUGAAUUGAAUCAGUGAAUAUUCGGACAAUGAACAAUUGUGUCAUUUACCUUUUACCAUAUAUAUAAGCGGUGAAAAGGCAAUUAAUAAUACAAGAUAUUUUUCAAUAGUCAGAUCUAAAUUACAGCUUAAAACACCGACAAUGUCACAAUAAAAUAUCAAAUUAUCAUGAAGUCACGACGUCAAAUUAGUCCGAAUUAUUUCCAUAGUAAAAGAAGCGUAUCAAUUUAUGAAUGACAACUCCGCAUAUAAUUUAAGUUUGACUAAAAGUCAUGCAACAACGACUCUUCACAUAUAUCAAUGUACGGAUGUAAACAAAUAUGAUAAGAAUGAAUUUAGAAGAAGGGUUAAGCAAUCAAAUUCCACAAAAUUAAAAUUAAGGACUAAACUUUACUAAAGGACGAAGAAAUGGAUACAAGACGAUGAGAGUUAUGAAUUGACGAAAAAUUAAUAAGAGAACAAACCCCUUAAAUGAUGAUUUCUGUGACUCCUUUACGAUUUUCGGAUAAUUAAGUGGAACAGGGGCGCCCGGAGGGAAAUGGUCCAAGGAGGAGAAACGACGGUGAGGCAAAGCGGUUGUUAGUGCCGCUGUUUUGAGGGGUUUUGCCGGUGGAGACGGUUGAAUCAGUGGCGUUGAGUUGUGACAAACGGAGGGGGACAUGGAAGGCGACGGCGACGGCGACGGCGACGGCGGCGGCAGAUCUGGGCACUGACGGAGGAGAGAUGUGGCGCCAUAGCUGGCGUCGGCGUUGGUGGGUCCCCGGAGACGGCUUUCGCUGGUGGGAGGCGUCCAUGGCCGGUGCGGCGUUCAGAUCUAGGCGGAGGACGGAGGCGGAGCAGCGGCUGGUUGCCAUCUCCUCCGGCGGCGACGGGAUUUUUGGAAGGGAGAUCGGAGAUUUGGAAAGGGUUUUGAGGUUGUUGGUGGUUUCAUGAUGGAGGGAGUAGAGACGCCGGCGAGGGGAGCCAUGAAGAGGCGGCGGCAAUGGAUGUUUAGUGAGAAGAUAGAGAGAGAAGAAAGCGUGUAAAGAGUGGGGGAGUGGGGCGGCUGGUAGGUUUAGGAAAUUACGGUUUAGGUUUUGUAAUUUAAAAAGGAAAGAAAGUGGUCUUUGGAUCU
rnacentral:lncRNA from 1 species